rnacentral:rRNA from 2 species
AGACCCGAAACCCGGUGAUCUAGCCAUGGGCAGGUUGAAGGUUGGGUAACACUAACUGGAGGACCGAACCGACUAAUGUUGAAAAAUUAGCGGAUGACCUGUGGCUGGGGGUGAAAGGCCAAUCAAACCGGGAGAUAGCUGGUUCUCCCCGAAAGCUAUUUAGGUAGCGCCUCGUGAAUUCAUCUCCGGGGGUAGAGCACUGUUUCGGCUAGGGGGCCAUCCCGGCUUACCAACCCGAUGCAAACUGCGAAUACCGGAGAAUGUUAUCACGGGAGACACACGGCGGGUGCUAACGUCCGUCGUGAAGAGGGAAACAACCCAGACCGCCAGCUAAGGUCCCAAAGUCAUGGUUAAGUGGGAAACGAUGUGGGAAGGCCCAGACAGCCAGGAUGUUGGCUUAGAAGCAGCCAUCAUUUAAAGAAAGCGUAAUAGCUCACUGGUCGAGUCGGCCUGCGCGGAAGAUGUAACGGGGCUAAACCAUGCACCGAAGCUGCGGCAGCGACACUCAGGUGUUGUUGGGUAGGGGAGCGUUCUGUAAGCCUGCGAAGGUGGCCUGUGAGGGUUGCUGGAGGUAUCAGAAGUGCGAAUGCUGACAUAAGUAACGAUAAAGCGGGUGAAAAG